GUAAAUAUAGCUUAAUUAAAGCAUUAGAUUGUGAAUCUAAAGUUAAAGUUUAAUCCCCUUUUAUUUACC
rnacentral:tRNA from 1 species